GCAGCGCAUCGUGGCGAUUUGUUCACCGGAUUGCGGGCCACGUUAAACAAUCCGCUAAAGAGGUCAGCCGAGAGUGCCC
rnacentral:ncRNA from 2 species